UUUUCAUCUUCUUUUUUAUAUUUUUUAUCUUUUUUCUUUAAUAAUACAUCUAA
rnacentral:ribozyme from 13 species